UCAGAGGAGAUUCAUUUCUGUUUUGGGAGGCUAGGGGCCGGCAGCAAGGUGAACUACCUGGCUUGUCUCCACGUGGGCCUCGGCAGUCUUGGGUCCGGAGACCUGGUGACCCAGAAAUAGAUUCUACCGCGUGCACAGAGUGCCUGAUUCUCGGGAAAUCCUGACUUCGUUUUGCUCGCUAGGCACCGUUAUUACCCCAGCGCUCUUUGCUUAUCUGUUCGGGCGAUCCUGGGAGGGUUGAAGAUGAAAAGCCUCCAGGAAAGAGUUGGGGCUGGAGCACUCCGUGUGCCGGCUCAGAUGUCCUGUGGACGCACCAGACUAUCUAGAAAGUGGCCUUAGAUUUGGACGUCCUCCAGAGGAAAGUUUCAAGGCUGAUGGGAUUAUGAAGGCAGGUGCUCCUUUGACCCAGAUUUUCUGAAUUGCACAUUUGUGCUACUCCCCUGUCCCCUUCCCAUGGCACUGGGUACUGACUGAGCUGCAAUUCUUUCUAGCUCUGUAAACAGUUGUUUGAAACAGAAUCUAGAUUAUCCAAGCUUGUUUUAAACUUGCUGACCUCAGGCUGGUAUUAGGCUCAUACCUGUACUGGCUGGUUUUGUGUGUCAACUUGACACAAGCUAGAAUCAUCGGAGGAAGGGCUCCAGGUGAAGAAAUGCCUCCAUGAGUUCCAGCUGUGGGGCGGAGGAGGGCCCAGCCUAAUGUGGGUGUUGCCAUCUCUGGACUGUGGUUCCGGGUUCCCAAAGCAGGCUGAGCAAGCCAGUAAACAGCACCCCUCCGUGGCUUCUGCUUCAGGUUCUGGCCCUGCUUGAGUUCUGGUCUGACUUCCUCCAGCGUAGACCAAAUAAACUUUCUAACUUGGUUUUUA